AUUGAACGCUGGCGGCAGGCCUAACACAUGCAAGUCGAGCGGAUGAAGGGAGCUUGCUCCUGGAUUCAGCGGCGGACGGGUGAGUAAUGCCUAGGAAUCUGCCUGGUAGUGGGGGAUAACGUCCGGAAACGGGCGCUAAUACCGCAUACGUCCUGAGGGAGAAAGUGGGGGAUCUUCGGACCUCACGCUAUCAGAUGAGCCUAGGUCGGAUUAGCUAGUUGGUGGGGUAAAGGCCUACCAAGGCGACGAUCCGUAACUGGUCUGAGAGGAUGAUCAGUCACACUGGAACUGAGACACGGUCCAGACUCCUACGGGAGGCAGCAGUGGGGAAUAUUGGACAAAGGGCGAAAGCCUGAUCCAGCCAUGCCGCGUGUGUGAAGAAGGUCUUCGAAUUGUAAAGCACUUUAAGUUGGGAGGAAGGGCAGUAAGUUAAUACCUUGCUGUUUUGACGUUACCAACAGAAUAAGCACCGGCUAACUUCGUG
rnacentral:rRNA from 1 species